CAUGGUCUCAGCUCGUAUUGCUCUACAACUCUCGAGUUUUCAAGGCUGAGAGGAUGAAGAGGCCGCUUCUGUUAGGAACACUCAGCCACUCUGGAGUCAGAGUGACUCUCGGCGAUGGAUCUCAGUGGCUCAUCCAUAAAGGAGACAACUACGGCAUCUCCUCUCAGACGGUGGUGACCAGCGCUGACAACAUGAGCUCAGACUGGACGGUUGUUGAAACA